AUGCAUGCAGUCGAGCGUGAUCGUGGCUUCGGCCACAAUGAUAAAGCGGCAGACGGCUGAGUAACGCGUGAGUAAUCUGCCCUCCGGUGGGGUAUAACCUCGGGAAACUGAGGAUAAUCCCGCAUACGACCUGCAUCCCUUGGGGUGCAGAUGAAAGGCUUCGGUCGCCGGAGGAGGAGCUCGCGUCCUAUCAGGUUGUUGGUGAGGUAAUGGCUCACCAAGCCGAUGACGGGUAGCUGGUCUGAGAGGAUGACCAGCCAGAGGGGGACUGAGAACGGCCCCCACUCCUACGGGAGGCAGCAGCAGGGAAUCUUGGGCAAUGGGCGAAAGCCUGACCCAGCGACGUCGCGUGGGGGACGAAGGCCUUCGGGUUGUAAACCCCUUUUCCGAGGGAAGAGAAAGGACGGUACCUCGGGUAUAAGCCCCGGCUAACUACGUGCCAGCAGCCGCGGUAAUACGUAGGGGGCAGCGUUACCCGGAAUCACUGGGCGUAAAGUGCGCGUAGGCGGUUGGAUAAGUCUCUUGUGAAAGCUCCCGGCUCAACUGGGAGAGGUCAAGGGAUACUAUUUGACUAGAGGACAUCAGAGGUAAGCAGAAUUCCCGGUGUAGCGGUGGAAUGCGUAGAUAUCGGGAGGAACACCAGUGGCGAAAGCGGCUUACUGGGAUGUAGCUGACGCUGAGGCGCGAGAGCGUGGGGAGCAAACUGGAUUAGAUACCCAGGUAGUCCACGCCCUAAACGAUGGAUACUAGGUAUGGGGGGGUAUUGACCCCCUCCGUGCCGUAGCUAACGCGUUAAGUAUCCCGCCUGGGGACUACGGCCGCAAGGCUAAAACUCAAAGGAAUUGACGGGGGCCCGCACAAGCGGCGGAGCGUGUGGUUUAAUUCGAUGCUAAGCGA
rnacentral:rRNA from 1 species